rnacentral:rRNA from 1 species
AACGAACGCUGGCGGCGUGUUUAAGACAUGCAAGUCGCACGGGACUAUUUGAGUAGCAAUACAAGAAUAGUUUAGUGGCGCACGGGUGAGUAACACGUGAAUUACAUGCCCUGCAGAGGGGGAUAGCCCAGGGAAACUUGGGUUAAUACCCCAUGGUAUCGCAAGAUUAAAGGUGGCCGCAAGGCUGUCGCUGCAGGAUUGGUUCGCGCCCUAUCAGCUUGUUGGUGAGGUAACGGCUCACCAAGGCUACGACGGGUACCUGGUCUGAGAGGACGAUCAGGCACACUGGAACUGAGACACGGUCCAGACACCUACGGGUGGCAGCAGUCGAGAAUAAUUCACAAUGGGGGCAACCCUGAUGGUGCAACGCCGCGUGGAGGAUGAAGGUCUUCGGAUUGUAAACUCCUGUCAUCCGGGAGUAAGACCUGGCGAUGAAUAGUCGACAGGGUUGAUAGUACCGGAAGAGGAAGGGACGGCUAACUUCGUGCCAGCCGCCGCGGUAA